AUGUGUCCUGAACUCCCCUUGCAGGCCUCCCGCCUCCAAUACUGGAUGCAUUUUGGAGUAGCAAGACUGUAUUCGUGUCACCUGUUCCCCAGAUUCUAUCACAGUAGGAUAAGAAGUUUCAACUUAAAUAUUACUUGCACCGUAUCACCCUCUUUUAUCACGACCUGAUAUUUUAUUUAUUGUUUCAUUUCCCACUAGAAGGCAAGCUAUUGAGAGAUGCCAACAAAUAAUUGUUGGAAAAAUAAGUGAAUGAAUGGAUGGAUGCGUGAAUGACAAAUAAGUGUCAUAUGCACAAGCUAAAAACAAGGCAGC
rnacentral:lncRNA from 1 species